rnacentral:rRNA from 1 species
CACCUUUCAGGGGGGGGGGAAGGGGGUUAAGGGUUAAUAACCCUUGGCGGAUUGACGUUACCCGCAGAAGAAGCCCCGGGUUAACUCCGUGCCAGCAGCCGCGGUAAUACGGAGGGGGCAAGCGUUAAUCGGAAUUACUGGGCGUAAAGCGCCCGCAGGCGGUUUGUCAAGUCCGGAUGUGAAAUCCCCGGGCUCAACCUGGGAACUGCAUUCGAAACUGGCAGGCUAGAGUCUUGUAGAGGGGGGUAGAAUUCCAGGUGUAGCGGUGAAAUGCGUAGAGAUCUGGAGGAAUACCGGUGGCGAAGGCGGCCCCCUGGACAAAGACUGACGCUCAGGUGCGAAAGCGUGGGGAGCAAACAGGAUUAGAUACCCUGGUAGUCCACGCCGUAAACGAUGUCGAUUUGGAGGUUGUGCCCUUGAGGCGUGGCUUCCGGAGCUAACGCGUUAAAUCGACCGCCUGGGGAGUACGGCCGCAAGGUUAAAACUCAAAUGAAUUGACGGGGGCCCGCACAAGCGGUGGAGCAUGUGGUUUAAUUCGAUGCAACGCGAAGAACCUUACCUGGUCUUGACAUCCACAGAACUUUCCAGAGAUGGAUUGGUGCCUUCGGGAACUGUGAGACAGGUGCUGCAUGGCUGUCGUCAGCUCGUGUUGUGAAAUGUUGGGUUAAGUCCCGCAACGAGCGCAACCCUUAUCCUUUGUUGCCAGCGGUUCGGCCGGGAACUCAAAGGAGACUGCCAGUGAUAAACUGGAGGAAGGUGGGGAUGACGUCAAGUCAUCAUGGCCCUUACGACCAGGGCUACACACGUGCUACAAUGGCAUAUACAAAGAGAAGCGACCUCGCGAGAGCAAGCGGACCUCAUAAAGUAUGUCGUAGUCCGGAUUGGAGUCUGCAACUCGACUCCAUGAAGUCGGAAUCGCUAGUAAUCGUAGAUCAGAAUGCUACGGUGAAUACGUUCCCGGGCCUUGUACACACCGCCCGUCACACCAUGGGAGUGGGUUGCAAAAGAAGUAGGUAGCUUAACCUUCGGGAGGGCGCUAC